AGAGAUGGGAGUUACAAACUGUAAGAGUUAGAGGGAGCCUAGAAACAGGAGAUUUAAUCUUUCAUUUCGACACUUGCAGAAACAGAGCAACAGAUUCAAUUAUGUUUUUUCCUCCUUGACAUUUAGGGAAACAGGAGAAAGCCCCUGCCCAGAAUUGCUUAGCCUUGAGUUAAUUAACUAGUUAAAUAAUUUUACAUUAGAAUGCAAGUUUUGAGUCUCCGUACACAUAGUCCACCUUCCUUUUGCUUGUCCCUGACAUCAUAUUUCAAAAUUCUCCAGUUCCAGCUUACCUUGAAAUGAUGGAACAUCUGAAGAAAUGUUAUCUGUGUUUGGGCUUUGAACUUCACUGUCUUUUGUGCAGCUGAUCAUUCACGCCUUGCCUACUGUCCGUAACACUCCCAAAUUGUUCUCAGCAACAAAGCAAAUGGUCAGAGCAAAGCCAACCAGAUCUAGGCAUACCAGCUGCAGGGUUAUGCCUGAUUCCUGCACAGGUCAUUUAUUUGUUGGCAUUAGCAAGAUUUGAAUUAGACACUGAACUAGGUGAAGACUCAGAUUAUUUAUGAUAACUGUCAACAGUAGCUGCAAGAAGAUGCCAACAGCUGUCAUAAGAAGUGGAGCAGCACUGGAGUUCAGCACUGAACUAAGGUCGGCCCCGCCCUCCGGCACAGCCUGCACCAGCUCAACGGCGUGAAUCAGCCAGGUGUCCUGGAGGGCCUGAGAGGGACCAGGGUGAUGAUGGGAUUCGGAGAAGAAAGUCAGAUUGGAGCAUACUCGCCCCAUGGAGAGGACAAAUUGGAUUCAUGACCAGACCUCUGAGGGGCUGCGUCUCCAGGUAGCUGGUGGGAAGCUGUCUGGAAACAAACAUUUUCCAGCUCGCUCGACCCUCACAUUUCCAGAGCAGAAGAAUACCCUGAAAGUGUUUUUCACGUACGAUUUCAGAAUCCUCACGAAAAGCCUCAAGUGUUUCUCCAGUUAUAGGGAGAUUCUAAAAACGUGUGGAUCAAGGGGUACCGCUUCUACUUAUUAACUUACUUGUGCAUGAGAACUCCUCAAAGUCAGAGCAAUGGCUCUAAAAUGGAUCUGCUCCUGUCAACAGAGCUCCUGCACAGCCAGGACCAACGCCUGAGUAUCCAGGACCAUGUCUCCCAGCCCAGAAACGACUCCUGCACACCUAAAGAUACCCAGUCAACCCUCACCUUGCCUGUAAGCCCCCUUCCCAGGAAAUAAGAGCAGAAGAACAAAGAAGCCACAAAGUUUCAUCUCGAGGAUAUGGAAAUGAAAUACACUGUGUAACUGUUAAGGACUGAAUUAUGUCCUCCUGAAAUUCACAUAUGGAGCCCUCAUGCCUAAUGUGACUGUAUUUGGAGACAGGGGCUU
rnacentral:lncRNA from 10 species